rnacentral:rRNA from 1 species
CCUACGGGAUGCUGCAGUGAGGAAUAUUGGUCAAUGGACGAGAGUCUGAACCAGCCAAGUAGCGUGAAGGAUGACUGCCCUAUGGGUUGUAAACUUCUUUUAUAUGGGAAUAAAACAGGGUAUGCAUACCCUCUUGUAUGUACCAUAUGAAUAAGGAUCGGCUAACUCCGUGCCAGCAGCCGCGGUAAUACGGAGGAUCCGAGCGUUAUCCGGAUUUAUUGGGUUUAAAGGGAGCGUAGGUGGAUUGUUAAGUCAGUUGUGAAAGUUUGCGGCUCAACCGUAAAAUUGCAGUUGAAACUGGCAGUCGUGAGUACAGUAGAGGUGGGCGGAAUUCGUGGUGUAGCGGUGAAAUGCUUAGAUAUCACGAAGAACUCCGAUUGCGAAGGCAGCUCACUGGACUGCAACUGACACUGAUGCUCGAAAGUGUGGGUAUCAAACAGGAUUAGAUACCCGAGUAGUC